GGCCUAAUGGCCCAAUGGCAAGGCGCUUGACUACGAUCACAUCGAAAUCAAGAGAUUCCAGGUUCGACCCCUGGUUAGGUCA